AACACUAUUAGCUCUGUCUAGCUCAGCGGCUCAGACUGGGGCCCUAGACAAAGGCCAAAGUUCUCCGCACUCCCGCUCAGGCUCUCCCCAAGGCAGUUCAGCUGAGUGCCAAGUCCAAAGACACCAAAACAUUUCACAGAUAUUUUCCACAGUAAACAUGUAAGUCAUGAGUUAAUCAGCUUCAUCAUCUUCAUUUUCAUGUGAAGAAGUGUUAUAUAGAUCACGGGCAGCUUCUCCAACUUUAAUGUGGGAAGCGUGUUCCAGCAAAUGGGAACAACAGUUAAGGAAGUUCUCAAACAGAUAAUGCCUUAAGAGCUAGACUUCAUAAAGUCUUCUACCAGCAUCUGUCCAACGAAAGACAAGGGUAACCUCGUACAACAUUGAGAUAGCACUGAGCUCUGUUGGGACACAGCACGCCUUAGGAAUCUUGGAGUUAAC